AUGGGACUCGGGGCAAAGGACGGGAGCAGUGAGCUCCAGGGGUUCCAGCCCGGCGCGCAGGUUACCACGGACCGGCUGAUCAAGGACCUGCCCAACUACGACGCCGUGUUCCACAUCGGCGACCUCUCCUACGCCAAUGGCUUCCUCGCGCAGUGGGACCACUUCACCGCGCAGAUCGAGCCCGUCGCCUCCAAGGUCCCCUACAUGGUCGCCAGUGGCAACCACGAGCGGACGUACAUGGACACGGGCGGGUUCUACAACGGCAACGACUCGCACGGCGAGUGCGGCGUGCCGGCGGAGACCUACUUCUACGUGCCGGCGCCGGCGCACCGUGGCAAGUUCUGGUACGCCGCCGACUACGGCAUAUUCCGCUUCUGCGUGGGCGACACGGAGCACGACUGGCGGCCCGGGACGGAGCAGCACGCGUUCCUCGACGCCUGCUUCGCCGGCGCCGACCGGAAGCACCAGCCGUGGCUCGUCUUCCUGGCGCACCGCCCGCUCGGCUACUCCUCCAACGACUUCUACGCGCAGGAGGGCUCCUUCGCGGAGCCCAUGGGGCGCGCCCUGCAGCCGCUCUGGCAGCGCCACCGCGUCGACCUCGCCGUCUACGGCCACGUCCACAACUACGAGCGGAUGUGCCCCGUCUACGAGAACACGUGCACCGUCAAGGGCAAAGAUCGGCAGAGCAGCUACGCGGGGGCGAUGGGAGGGACCAUCCACGUCGUGGCCGGCACGGGAGGCGCCAGGCUGAGGAGCUACGCCGGCGGCGCGUGGCCGCAGUGGAGCGUGGCGAGGAACGAGAGCUUCGGGUACGUCAAGCUCGCCGCCAGCGACCACUCGUCCAUGCGGUUCGAGUUCAUCCACAGCGACGACGGCGCCGUGCACGACGCCUUCACCAUCACCAGGGACUACAAGGACAUCAUGGCCUGCGCCGUCGACAGCUGCGCGCCACACACCCUAGCCAACUAG
rnacentral:rRNA from 1 species